rnacentral:rRNA from 1 species
UACAGAGGUCUCAAGCGUUGUUCGGAUUCAUUGGGCGUAAAGGGUACGUAGGCGGCGCGGUAAGUCGGAUGUGAAAUCUCGGAGCUUAACUCCGAAACUGCAUUCGAUACUGCCGUGCUUGAGGACUGGAGAGGAGACUGGAAUUUACGGUGUAGCGGUGAAAUGCGUAGAUAUCGUAAGGAAGACCAGUGGCGAAGGCGGGUCUCUGGACAGUUCCUGACGCUGAGGCACGAAGGCCAGGGGAGCAAACGGG